AUUUAAUGUGCAGAUUUGGGAGGGAUUUUUAAAAUUCAUAAUAAUGCCAGCAGAUUAGAAUUAUUUUUCCUUUCACAGUUUCUGAGCCAUGGACCAGCAGAGUAUCUGGUGCUGUUAGAGCCUGGAGAAGGAGGCAGGAGAUGGGAGCCUGUAGCCUCUCAGGUAUGAGAAGAUGUGUAUGUUCUUCCUGGAUCAUGCUGGGAAGUGGGACUGGAGCUGCUCUGCCAUUAUCCCCAGGUCCACACAAAAGGAGGGUAGACCGGGGCACCCGGGGGACUCAAUUGGAUAAGUGUCCAGCUCUUGAUUUCGGCUCAGGUCAUGAUCUCAGGGUUGUGAGAUCGAGCCCUGUGUGUCAGGCUCUACACUGGGCAUGGAGCCUGCUCAAGAUUCUCUCUCUCCCUGUCCCUCUGCUUCUCCAAGCUCUAGAAGAAAAAGGAGGAUACAUUGUGAGGAGAAGUCCGAUGAAGCAUGUGGUAAGCGUUUUACUAUAUUAUUGUUAUUUUUUUAAAAGGUAUGCAUUCUUUAGCCAUGAGAAAGCAAUGAAGGAGAGCAGACAACG
rnacentral:lncRNA from 1 species